rnacentral:rRNA from 1 species
AGAGUUUGAUCCUGGCUCAGAAGGAACGCUAGCUAUAUGCUUAACACUUGCAAGGCGAAAGUUGUUUUCAGGGAGCUAGGUAGAAAGAAAAUAGGCUCUGCACAUCAGGUAGCUUAUCUCGCCCAGCAGGUGAGAAAAGCUGAGAACAAAGUGGCGAAUGGGUACGUAACGCGUGGGAAUCUGCCUAGCAGUUCGGGCCAAAUCUUGAAGAAAGCUAAAAAGCGCUGUUUCAUGAGCCUGCGUAAUAUUAGGUAGUUGGUCAGGUAAAGGCUAACCAAGCCAAUGAUGCUUAGCUGGUCUCCUCGGAUGAUCAGCCACAUUGGGACUGAAACACGGCCCGGACUCCCACAAGGGGUAGCAGUGGGGAGUCUUGGACAAUGGGCAAAAGCCUGAUCUAGCAAUAUCGAGUGAGUAAAGACGGGUAAUGCCGCUUGUAAAGCUCUUUGAUUAAGUGCGCGAUCAUGAUAGGACUCGAGAAAGAAGCCCCGGCUAACUUCGUGCUAGCAGCGGCGGUAAGACAAAGGAGCAAGUGUUCUUCAGAAUAACUGGGCGUAAAGGGCAUGUAGGCAGUGAAUCGGGUUAAAAGUGAAUGUUGCCAAAAACUGGCGGAAUGCUCUAGAAACCAAUGAACUUGGGUGAGACAGAAGAGAGGGGAAUUUCGUUUGUAGGGGUGAAAUCCGAAGAUAUAUGAAGGAACGACAAAAGCGAAGGUCGCUCUCUGCGUCCCUACCGACACUGAGGUGCGAAAGCAUGGGGAGCAAACAGGACUAGAUACCCUCAUAGUCCAUGUCCUGAUCCAAUGGCUUUGUGCCUGACUCCGAAUGAAUACCUUUCCUGUGCAAGUGAUCGCGUUCCUAGAAUUCUUGAUACCAUAUUACAGUUUGUUGGGCUACUGAUCAACCAUCUCAUGAUAUGAUUAUUGGAAGUUCUUGUCAUUGCAAUACUCACCAGUGCUACACUGGCAGUAGCUCUAGUCGAUUCUCAGUUCAUAGUUUUUUGGUUUUCAUACCCGGUCUGUCUGCAAAACUCAUAGUGAUGAGGUAUGGCAUCAGUUACGUAUAGCAUGGCGUUCCGCAAGACAUUCGCCAGAACCUGCCCAAUUUCCCUACUGCUUUACCAAAGCCUAAGCUUUUGUCAGUACAGGCAGUAACUCCCUUGCUUGGCCAACGUAACUCCUUCGAAUGUCCUCUCACCAUCUUUAAGGGGCUUCACUACAUUGGUUGAUGUUUAUGGUUUCUCUAGGGAUAUCUCUCCUUUUUCAUCGAAGAACUCUUUUCUCGGCCUAUUUGGCAUCAUGU